GCUUAGAAGCAGCCACUCAUUAAAAGAGUGCGUAAUAGCUCACUGGUCGAGUGACUCUGCGCCGAAAAUUUAACGGGGCUAAACUAUACACCGAAGCUUGGGAUACAUCUAAUGUAUGGUAGGAGAGCGUUCUGUAUGGGGAGAAGUCGUAGCGAAAGCGGCGGUGGACUAUACAGAAGUGAGAAUGCCGGAAUAAGUAGCGAGAAUUAAGUGAGAAUCUUAAUGGCCGAAAGUCUAAGGUUUUUGGAGGAAGGUUCGUCCGCUCCAAGUAAGUCGGGAGCUAAGGUCAGGCCGAAAGGCGUAGCCGAUGCACAUACGGUUGAUAUUCCGUAACCAUCUGUAAUUUAAGCAAAGGGACACUUCAAAAGGGUGUGACCCGGGCGUUGGUUGACCCGGGCGUAAGGGACCGAAAUUAGAGUAGGGAAGCACACUUAGCUGAAGGCGAGAAAAGCUUUGCGUAUAGAAACAGAUGCCCGUACCGCAAACCGACACAGGUGGACAGGAAGAGAAUUCUAAGGCCAGCGGGAGAAGGGUAGUUAAGGAACUCGGCAAAUUGACUCCGUAACUUCGGAAUAAGGAGUGCUCGAAAGAGCCGCAGAGAAUAGGCCCAGGCGACUGUUUAGCAAAAACACAGGUCUCUGCCAAAUCGAAAGAUGAAGUAUAGGGGCUGACACCUGCCCGGUGCCGGAAGGUUAAGAGGAGGAGUGAGAGCUCCGAAUUGAAGCCCCGGUAAACGGCGGCCGUAACUAUAACGGUCCUAAGGUAGCGAAAUUCCUUGUCGGGUAAGUUCCGACCCGCACGAAUGGUGUAACGAUCUGGGCACUGUCUCAACUACCCACCCGGCGAAAUUGUAGUACCGGUGAAGAUGCCGGUUACCUGCGGCAAGACGGAAAGACCCCAUGGAGCUUUACUGUAGCCUGAUAUUGGGUUUCGGAAAUCUAUGUACAGGAUAGGCGGGAGACUUGGAAACAUGAGCGUCAGCUUGUGUGGAGUCGAUGUUGGGAUACCGCCCUUAGGUUUCUGGAAUUCUAACCUGCGGCCGUGAAUCCGGUCGGGGGACAUUGUCAGGUGGGCAGUUUGACUGGGGCGGUCGCCUCCGAAAAAGUAACGGAGGCGCUCAAAGGUUAGCUCAGCACGGACGGAAACCGUGCCUCUGAGUGUAAACGCAAAAGCUAGCCUAACUGCGAGGGUGACGGCCCGAGCAGUAACGAAAGUUGGAGUUAGUGAUCCGGCGGUAUGUGAAUGGAAAUGCCGUCGCUCAACGGAUAAAAGCUACCCUGGGGAUAACAGGCUGAUCUCCCCCAAGAGUCCACAUCGACGGGGAGGUUUGGCACCUCGAUGUCGGCUCAUCACAUCCUGGGGCUGUAUUCGGUCCCAAGGGUUCGGCUGUUCGCCGAUUAAAGUGGUACGCGAGCUGGGUUCAGAACGUCGCGAGACAGUUCGGUCCCUAUCUGUCGUGGGCGCAGGAUAUUUGAGGAGCUCUGUCCUUAGUACGAGAGGACCGGGAUGGACGUACCUCUGGUGCACCAGUUGUCAUGCCAAUGGCACGGCUGGGCAGCUAUGUACGGAACGGAUAAACGCUGAAAGCAUCUAAGCGUGAAGCCGACUCCAAGAUUAGAUAUCCCAUCGUAUAACGAGUAAGACCCCUUGAAGACUACGAGGUUGAUAGGCUGCGUGUGUAAGUGCCGUGAGGCAUUCAGCUUGGCAGUACUAAUAGGUCGAGGGCUUGACCA
rnacentral:rRNA from 1 species